rnacentral:lncRNA from 1 species
UCUCUGCAGUCCCUUAUCCUUCCUCCACCCCUUAGAUCAGCCCGGCCCCUGCAUAGCCUCAGUGUGCUGGCGUUUGACCAAGAGCGUCUGGAGCGGAAGAUCCUGGCCCUCAGGCAGGCGCGGCGGCCGGUGCCCCCAGAAGUGGCCCAGCAGUACCAGGACAUCAUGCAACGCAGCCAGUGGCAGAGGGCACAGCUGGAGCAGGGGGGUGUGGGCAUCCGACGGGAAUACGCAGCCCAGCUGGAGCGGCAGCUGCAGUUCUACACGGAGGCUGCCCGGCGCCUGGGCAACGAUGGCAGCAGGGAUGCUGCAAAGGAGGCACUCUAUAGGCGGAAUCUGGUAGAGAGUGAGCUGCAGCGGCUCCGCAGGUGAGGAGCCCAUGGGGCGGGCAGCCCCCAGAAAGCAGGCAGCAGGCCCUGACACCGGGAAGAGCCAACACAGCCACGGACCAGACAAGCAGACAAUCAGCGGACAAUCGGUUCUGGACUCACCCCUCAUCCAGGCCCCCAGCCCAGCCAGAGCCUCCGUGGCUGCGGGUGUUGGGAACCAUGCCUGCCAGCCAGUAUGUGCCCCUCAUCCAGGCCUGGCUGGGCCCUGGGGAGUCCUGUUUGCACAGCCCAGGGGUGUCCGGCCUCUGGCCCGCCCCGGAGCAGGGAGGGUGGCUGGGACCAAGCCCCGAGGGCCCCUGCAAGCACUUUACUUCCUGUUCCUCCCCAGCCUUAACCCCAAAGCCCUCCUGCACCCCAAAGAAGCCACUGAGGCUGGCCGAGCCCCACUGUCUCCCCAGGGGCGUCGACCUGGCCCAGCUGGGUCCCCAGGGCCAGCACAUGGAAUAAAAUAGCCAGG